AAUAACCAGAACACGCAUGACAAUAACAACAUCAACAAAGUUUCAAUAUAAUGCAACAAAGCUACGCACAAGCUUACUUUCAAGAGGACAAGUGACACAGGCUUAGAAAGCACGGUUAUUUUCAGCUGCGUAAAAUAAACUUUGCAGCAAUAGCAGGCUAGGCCUAUUUAAUGACCGUGGAGCUAGCAUCAUCAUCAACAUAACACAACGGUUAUGGAAAUUAGAACGACAGACAGUACAAUACAUUGAAUUAAAUUGCCAUGUUUCGUGUGCAGGUGACGACGGAGAUAAGACGGCUUCAGACAGCUGUUUGCUAGAACUUCACUGCACAACACGCACUGAGGCUUUGGGCAAUCUGUAUCGCCAAUCCAAGUGAAGCCCAAACCCAGGUUUUCCAGGGCCUUCAGCUGACUGUGACACUGCUCUUCCAAAGGAUGCAUCUGCAAGAGCUGGGCAGCCUUCAGAAGCUGGGGCAGAUCAUCCACGGGGACCUCGAGACAUUCAGUGUAGCAGAGCUGCGGGAAGAAUGAGCUCACAAUGCACAGUGUGAACCAGACUGAAAUGCAACAGCAUCCAGGACCCUCUCUGUAGCUAUCUAGUGGCCCAAAGCAAAUGUUGAAUCCUACACGUCCCCAAUGGUCAUGGGCCUCAGUGCACUCUGCCUGGCCAUUGCUCCACACUGUGGCCACACAUACCCUCUGUGUUUAACUCUUGUUUGUUUACCCUGCAGCUACCCAUUAUUCCUGCAUAUUUCUGUUUCUGUCAUAGGUACGCACAUAUGAUUACAAAAUGUUCCCUUGCCAAUACACAAACGAGCUGUUUAUUCAAGGCAAGAUAAUGUUGAUUAUUGGUGAUGGAGGGAGUAAAUGUCAUCAAAAUAAAUACAUGUUCUUAUCAGGGACAUCCUUGUCAAAUGUCUUACUUUUGAGAAGCAACUCUUUGAAUAGAACUCUGUUAAAUCAACCAUCCUGCACAAAAUUGUAGAAGUGAAACUUAAAAUCAGUUCAUCCCUAUUUUUCUCAGUACAUUAAUAGGUGCUGGCUCAUAUAAUGGGGAAAACAGAUCAAUUAACAUUUUGACUGUUUUCCUUUUAUUCAAUUCAAUAAAAAAUUUCUCACUCCAUUUUGCUACCAACAUUUUCACAUGCAUUUAUAUUCCUUUACUGCAGCAACUUUAGCAACAGCUUGAUCCACACAUGCAACCAUGUAUACAAACACGUCCAUCUGCGAAGUUGAAUAAGUACACUUUCCAUUGGUAUAUUGGUAUGGUACCAUCAGAAAUCAGGACCUGAUAGUGAUAUGAUUCCCUUAAUUCACACAGAAUAGAAAGGCUACAGACAGAAAGCAGGCCCACAGUAGGCCUCAACGCAGGCCUCCAAACCUGAAGCAAAUCUACAUGUCCUCAAUAGCCCAUGAAGCUAAGGGGAAAACCUAGUGUGCACUUUAACAUCCUCUAACAACACAUGAACAACCAAAGGGCCUCUCCUCUACUCACAUAUGAAGGCUGGAGUUGCAUGCAAGGAACUUUUGAAGCUCUGGUCUAAAAACCACAGACAGCUACAUGACAAGAUCAACAGAGAAGAGAUAGAGAAAGGUGUCUGAGUAGAAUGGAAGGGAGAGAGAUAGAGAUACACGCAGAGAGAGAGAAAGACCUCAGAAGAGAGAGAGAGAGAGAAAAACAUUUGAAACAUUUAGCAGUGUUGCUGGGAGACCAUGCAGGGGCAGACAGUCUAGUGAAGCCGAGGUUUUCGGUGCAAUGGAGAAACUCACCAGUUCACGAGUGACUCAACCCACCCCCUGUAGAGAGUGCUGGUCCUACACACAUUGUGGCCUGGCUGUUGAAUGACAUGGUUGGCUGGUCUCCGUUUAGGUAAGGGACAUGGUGUCUCUUUUGGCUUCUCAGUCCCUCCUCUUUGCCUCUUCUGGCCCGGAUUGGUCUGUCAUGGGAGCAUCUGUGACUGUUGCAGUAACUGUAUUUGGCGAGAGGAUACAUGCGAGAGAAGCGAGAGAGGCUGUAGAAACAGAACUCAGACCUGAAAUAGCACACCAUGCUGACUUUUGGUGUGAAUGGUGACGACAAAUUACUUGCUGUCUUUACCAGACCGGCUCUCAUCUCCACUGGGAUGUCCUCUUCAGUGCCAUCUGGGGGCGGAGUCACUGGCUGACUUGUUCCCGUUCAUCCUUGUGCAAUGGGAGUAAACUCUGUGGGCUAUACUGUCAGGGUGGUUGCGGUUGGGUAGUUGACGUGACAUAGCCUUUUUGUGGAUCCAAGUUUUAAACACAAAUAAAUAAAAUUUCAAUUUGUCCAAAAUGUUUUUAUAUUGUUCAGAACAUGCUGCUUUAUGUGAACAUACUGAAUAUUCAUGCAAUUCAUCACUUACUUAAAAAAAAAAGCUCAUAUGGUGUGACUGUCCCAAGCACGUUUCACAAAGUUCACUCUUUAAUAAACCUAUGGAAAAUAAAUGCAACUCUCCUCAAUAAAUUACAAAAUGAUGA